CCCCCCCCCGUCGCCCGGAGGGGAGGCGGUAGAUCGCGUUGGGAAAGUGUCAUGGAGUUUACCCACGUUCAUCCCAGCUGAUUAUAGCCCAUGUGUAUCCUGUAAUUUCAAUAUUGGUACCCAAAUACUUUCAGAUGCCUCGUGGAAAAUCCUAUUUCCGGUCUGGGAAUCUCUUAGCACCUUUGAUUCCGAGAUUAUCGAUUUUCUAAAUUCUCAAAUCGGAGUUUGCUACUCAGAGGUUGCUAAUCACUUCCUACUUUAUUUGAUAAUGUAAGAAGAACAGAUGAAUUACCUUCAUUUUUUACGAGAAAAAAAAAAAUUGUCAUAAAUAUGAUUUAUCAACAAUGCAAGAACCAAUGCAGCUUGCAUUUCAACACAAUAUGGAAGUAGCCCAUGUAAAAAAACAAAAAAAAACUGAUUUAUUUUAAAAAGAAAAAUCUGAUCUUAGUCAAUGAUAAGACUUCAAACACAAAAUGCCCCUUUUAUUAUGGGUAAUAAGCAGCAUAUCCCUGGAGAUAGAAAUUAAGUUAUGCUACAUAAUAAUACGCUAGCAUUUAAAGACAUUGUGAAAAGUAAACAGAAGUAACAUAAGUGCUAAAUUAAAUAAUGGCAGUGUAGCAUGAAAGUCGAACAUAGUAAAAGGUGCUCCACUUCCAGUUAAGAACUGGUGGAUGCUCAUGAAAUAUGCAAGUUUUUGUGCAAGAACAGGAGCUGGUCAACAUGCUCUGGUGAGAGUGUCCUCCGCUGGGCAGUCACAAUAUCCCCUGCAGUAGAGAACACUCUUUCUGCAGAGACACUGGUGGCUGGAAUACAGAAGUAUCGCUUGCCCAACUUGGAAAGCAGGGGAUACAUCACAUCAUUUUUUCUCCACCAGCUGAGAGGGUCCUCAGAGAGAAAUUGGUGGAGCACCACAGAACUUGGUAACCUCCUCAGCUUUAGCAUAGGCAGAGAUGGGCUGCUGAGCUGUUUCACUAGGGAAGGUAUUCCCCAGCAGAUUCUCCAACAAAGGAUGGAGCGCUUCUCUUAGGAGAUAAAUUACUGUAAAUCCCCAGAUUGUGGCCGGGGCUUUUAUGUACUUAGGCUGCAUAGCGCACAUUACAUGUCAUUUAGCGGACGCUUUUAUCCAAAGCGACGUACAAUAAGUGCAUUCAACCAUAGUGUACAAACUCAGGAGAACAAGAAAGUGCAAUUUCCUCAAAUAAGCCAAUUUACAAUUUGCUGUAGAGGAGUGACUAGGAGAUCUAGUCGAGUGUUUUGCUCUCAGUGAGGGA
ensembl:lncRNA